AAUCAGGGGCGGCGCUACAGGGGGUGUGUGGGGGGGUGGAACACCCCCCACUCGUCAGCUAAUCGGCAAAUUGUUAUCUCAGUCGGCAAAACUGGAUUGGCUAAAGAUAACCACUGAAGAAACCAAAAUUGACCUCCUGAAUAAUUGAAUUCAAACCGAAUAUCACGAAUAGCAUGCAUCAAUGAAACCGCACAUGCAGCAAUGCAAUUUUUUUCGAAUACAGUAUCUUCACUUCUGGCAGCUAGUCCAAAAAUAUAAUAUUUUUGAAAUCAUAAUUAGGUAAUUAAAUUUGUUUGGUUGUUGUUGUUGUUGUUGUUGUUGUUGUUGUUGUUGUUGUUGUUGUUGUUGUUGUUGUUGUUGUUGUUGUUGUUGUUAUUGUUGUUGUUGUUGUUGUUGUUGUUGUUGUUGUUGUUGUUGUUGUUGUUGCUUAUUAUACUGUUCUAUAAAAGAGGCAAUAAAGUCGGUUUUCCACUAGC